GCAAUAAUCUAGCCCAACUAAAAAUAAAUAAAACUUAACAAACAAAAUUAUCCUACUAAAAUCAACCAAAACAUUUUUCACCAUCUUAGUAUGGGCGAUAGAAAAGAU
rnacentral:rRNA from 1 species